CAGACAAGAUAAAUUUUCCACCAAUAUAGAUACAUACGAAAUUUGGCACGCGGUGUAUAAGAAAACUCUAACCUAAGAAUUGGCAGCUCGUGUCCACCGCUACCUCUGCAAUGUUGCUUCGUCGUUCGCCGUGCGUAAUGGGCUUCAAAGUUGAAAAUGACACGCGGAAGAAUUGCUUAAAGUUCGGGAUCGAAGAAGAGGAAGAUUCGUCCGUCACGUCUGUGGUACUUCGCUUCCAAAAUUCUCCGAUCUUCAAGGCUGAAUCGGCAGGAUAGAAACGCCGAGAUUAAUCCGCAACUCGUGAUCACGAUGUACGAUAUUACACCUGCCGUCGACUUCCGAUUAUUUCGACAAUUAAGAAGCAAACUACGAUUAUCCUCAAGGUAGUUCAGUUUUUCCACCACUCCGUUACGUUAUUCUCUAUGAAGACCAAGACGGUAUCUCGAGGAAGACAAGAGAAACCAUACGAAUAUGCACGGCCGUCUAAUUGUUAGGCUUUGAAAAUCAGGAAGAAGGCUAUUACACGAAAUUGUUAUAAGCAGCAUGAUUACCCAUGCCGGUGCUCUUUACAAGACGAAUAAAGACGCAACGAAACAUUAUAAUGUC